UAAUACUUUGGGAAUGAGGUUCUCCCUUUGUGACAACACAAAAACCGCUUAUAAGCUGAUGACUUCUGCAUAUUU
rfam:Fusobacterium varium ATCC 27725 genomic scaffold supercont2.6, whole genome shotgun sequence.